rnacentral:tRNA from 2 species
CGGGGAGUAGUACACCGGUAGUACAUACGGUUCGGGUCCGUAAAAACCGGGUUCGAUUCCCGGCUCCCCGA